GAUGAACGCUUUCUUCUUUCCUAAUACAUGCAAGUCGAGCGAACGGACGAGAAGCUUGCUUCUCUGAUGUUAGCGGCGGACGGGUGAGUAACACGUGGAUAACCUACAUAUAAGACUGGGAUAACUUCGGGAAACCGGAGCUAAUACCGGAUAAUAUUUUGAACCGCAUGGUUCAAGAGUGAAAGACGGUCUUGCUGUCGCUUAUAGAUGGAUCCGCGCUGCAUUAGCUAGUUGGUAAGGUAACGGCUUACCAAGGCAACGAUGCAUAGCCGACCUGAGAGGGUGAUAGGCCACCCUGGAACUGAGACACGGACCCGACUCCUACGGGACGCAGCAGUAGGGAAUGUUCCGCAAUGGGCGAGAGCCUGACGGAGCAACGCAGCGUGAGUCAUGAAGGUCUUCGGAUCGUAACACUCUGUUAUUAGGGAAGAACCUAUGUGUAAGUAGCUGUGCACAUCUUGACGGUACCUACUCAGAAAGCCACGGCUAACUACGGG
rnacentral:rRNA from 1 species